UACGGAGGGUGCGAGCGUUAAUCGGAAUUACUGGGCGUAAAGCGCACGCAGGCGGUUUGUUAAGCUAGAUGUGAAAGCCCCGGGCUCAACCUGGGAUGGUCAUUUAGAACUGGCAGACUAGAGUCUUGGAGAGGGGAGUGGAAUUCCAGGUGUAGCGGUGAAAUGCGUAGAUAUCUGGAGGAACAUCAGUGGCGAAGGCGACUCCCUGGCCAAAGACUGACGCUCAUGUGCGAAAGUGUGGGUAGCAAGCAGG
rnacentral:rRNA from 1 species